CGUAAAAAUGCAUAUAGUAUAUAGCUACGGAAAUNAACGGUAUCCCCAUAUGAGAGGCCUCUGAUGCAUUAAGUUCGAGGUUUAUGAUGGUGUGGUUGAUAUAUGUAGGUACGGCUACAAGGCGAAGAUAAUAUGGGUGAAAGGCGACAGCAUGAUAUGAAAAGUCAGAUCUAGGGGAGGCAGCAGUAGGGAUAUUGACAUGGCGAAGCUGAUCCAGCAUGCGGGUCGAUAGAUGAAGGCCUCUGGGUUGUAAUAUCUUUUAUCUGGGAAGAAACACCUCGUUUCUACGAGGUUGACGGUACCAGAGGAAUAAGCACCGGUAACUCCGUGCCAGCAGCCGGGUAAUACGGAGGGUGCAAGCGUUAUCCGGAUUCACUGGGUUUAAAGGGUGCGUAGGUGGGUUGAUAAGUCAGUGGUGAAAGCUCCGAGCUUAACUUGGAAACUGCAUUGAUACUGUCCAGUCUUGAAUGUCGUAAGGUAAGCGGAAUGUUGCCUUGUAAGCGGUGAAAUUGUUUAAGAUUUUGUUACGGAACACCAAUUUGGGAAAGGCAGUUACUUAUGGGAUGGAUUGGACGUUGAGGCACGAAAGGUUGGGGAGCA
rnacentral:rRNA from 1 species